rnacentral:rRNA from 1 species
CGUGUAGGCGGGAUAAUUAGUCAACUGUGAAAUCUUUCGGCUUAACCGGAAACCUGCAGCUGAUACUGUUAUCCUUGAGUUCGGAAGAGGGAAGUGGAAUUCCUGGUGUAGCGGUGAAAUGCGUAGAUAUCAGGAAGAACACCAGUAGCGAAGGCGGCUUCCUGGUCCGUAACUGACGCUGAGACGCGAAAGCGUGGGGAGCAAACA